UACAGAGGGGGGCAAGCGUUGUUCGGAAUUACUGGGCGUAAAGGGCGCGUAGGCGGCCAGCACAAGUCAGUUGUGAAAUCUCCGAGCUUAACUCGGGAACGGUCAACUGAUACUGUGCGGCUAGAGUGCGGAAGGGCAACUGGAAUUCUUGGUGUAGCGGUGAAAUGCGUAGAUAUCAAGAGGGAACACCUGCGGCGAAGGCGGGUGCUGGGCCGACACUGA
rnacentral:rRNA from 1 species